rnacentral:rRNA from 1 species
GUGAGGAAUAUUGCGCAAUGGAGGCAACUCUGACGCAGCCAUGCCGCGUGCAGGAAGAAGGCGCUACGCGUUGUAAACUGCUUUUAACCGGGAAAAAACCCCAGGACGUGUCCUGGGUUGACGGUACCGGAGGAAUAAGCACCGGCUAACUUCGUGCCAGCAGCCGCGGUAAUACGAAGGGUGCAAGCGUUAUCCGGAUUCAUUGGGUUUAAAGGGUGCGUAGGCGGAGCGUUAAGUCAGUGGUGAAAUCCUGCAGCUUAACUGUAGACUUGCCAUUGAUACUGGCGCUCUUGAGUGCGCUUGAAGUGGGCGGAAUGUGCCGUGUAGCGGUGAAAUGCUUAGAUAUGGCACAGAACACCAAUUGCGAAGGCAGCUCACUAAGGCGAUACUGACGCUGAGGCACGAAAGCGUGGGGAUCGAACAGGAUUAGAUACCCUUGUAGUCC